AAGCGCUUUUCUCUCCUCUUUCCUGCCACGGGCCUUCUUUCCAAGCCAGCCCCUGUGCCCAGCAGCCGGAAACUGCAAGGAAGGUCGGCUUCUGGGAGGAGAUUAUAUUUGAGAAGGGCUUUGACAGAGCAGAGGACCUGGGGACACGGGUAUAGGAUUGCUGAAGGUCAUCACCCCCUGCCCCCAUGGCUCCAGCCCCCUUGGCAGGUCAACCUGGUGCGGACCACAUGAUCUCAUGCCUGCCCCGAGUGGAACAGAGCAGGCACCUGACUAGGGGCAGCUAAUCACUAGUGACAGAGGCUGCCUUGACCUGUGGCUUGUGCUGGAAUCUGCUCAGGAUCUUGACCAAAAUGCAGUAGACAGGGCAGUUAUGAGUGCAGGAGUGGCGGGGGAAGUACAAGGAGGGGCCGCAUGGAAUCAAAGCCAUCAUGCAGCACAUUCUGGGAGUAAUGGGUGAGCAGGGAGCCGGCCUGUGGCACAAAGAGUGCACCAUGCAUGGGCGGGAGUGCCUAGCCAGGACAGGGGACAUUCAUCGAGUGUCCCUCCUCCCCAUCAUCUCGUGCGAGAACAGAGCACGGUGUGUGGGCACACGUAUAUACUUCUGCACACAAAUGUGCACACAAAUGUCCCUGCCAGGUUCAGAGAUGUAGAGGAUUAGAAUAUCAGACGGGGCCAGAUGAGUGAGCUGGGGCCAGACGAUGGGGACCCAGAGCAUCAGGAAGUCCUGCGAACCUGUAGAUGUUUGUCCUAGACAGCCGCCCAGUGGGGUGGGGAGGGAGCUAGAGACAGCAAUGGGAUGGGGGAUGGGGGAUGGGGGUGCGGCUGUGGGAGAGUUGGGACCAGCUGGCCACCCUGGGAAGACAUUGCCAAGGCAGAAGCUUCGCAUUGGAUGUAGGGACAGAGAGAAGGGGGCUGUUUCCAGUUUGGACAACCAAGAGAACCGCGGGGCUGUUGACCUGGUGAGAGGGCUUGUCUUGGUUGGCUGGAUUUGGGGGCCUGUGGUUUUAAGGUGACACCAGCCCAGGCAACUGGAAUCGCUGAUCAGAAGAGAGCCCAGGAGAGAAGUCAGUGGUUCAAAACAAUUUCGGAGGCAUCAGGAUGCAGGGGCCCGAGGGAGAAGAGUUCUUUCUCCAGGAGUAGAUAUUUGUGCCCAUGGAGGGCUGGCUGCCCACUCACGGUCCACUCUGGACCCAAUUCCAGUGUUUGGGGGUUUCCCCCAUACCAAGCAUUCUGUGACGCCAGCUGGGGGGUCCUGUGAAGUCAAUCAAUUGUGACACUGUCUACCUGGAGAUAGCGUCAGAUGCCACCGGUUAGGGGCUGGGUCCCACACGACUGUCCCCACUUCAGCCGCCAGUCCGGAGCCCAGGCUGUCACCCGAUGGAUUGGUCAUAAAUCGGAGGUUCCCACAACCCCUCCUUGGGUUCGAUGAAUUUGCUCGCAGAGUUCAGAGAAACAUUUCCUUAUUAGAUCACCAGUUUAUUAUAAAAGGACAUAACUCAGCAACAGGCAGGUGGAAGAGAGGAUAUUCCAAGAGUUUCAGGAGCUCUGGGCCAGAAAUGGGAAGAACACCAGUGAAACAAACCCUCUCAACCUCCCUCGCAGCUAGUGGUGAGCACGUGACAUCCCUGGGCGGCUUGGGCUGGUGCGGACUCUCCUCUCCAGACUUCUCGGUGUAUGAGAAAAAUUAAAAGGUCGCGGUCAUUCAAGUCU